AGUGAACGCUGGCGGUAGGCCUAACACAUGCAAGUCGAACGGCAGCACAGUAAGAGCUUGCUCUUACGGGUGGCGAGUGGCGGACGGGUGAGGAAUACAUCGGAAUCUACUUUUUCGUGGGGGAUAACGUAGGGAAACUUACGCUAAUACCGCAUACGACCUACGGGUGAAAGCAGGGGAUCUUCGGACCUUGCGCGAUUGAACGAGCCGAUGUCGGAUUAGCUAGUUGGCGGGGUAAAGGCCCACCAAGGCGACGAUCCGUAGCUGGUCUGAGAGGAUGAUCAGCCACACUGGAACUGAGACACGGUCCAGACUCCUACGGGAGGCAGCAGUGGGGAAUAUUGGACAAUGGGCGCAAGCCUGAUCCAACCAUACCGCGUGGGUGAAGAAGGCCUUCGGGUUGUAAAGCCCUUUUGUUGGGAAAGAAAAGCAGCAGGUUAAUACCCCGCUGUUCUGACGGUACCCAAAGAAUAAGCACCGGCUAACUUCGUG
rnacentral:rRNA from 1 species